GAUGAACGCUGGCGGCGUGCCUAAUACAUGCAAGUCGAGCGAACAGACGAGGAGCUUGCUCCUCUGACGUUAGCGGCGGACGGGUGAGUAACACGUGGAUAACCUACCUAUAAGACUGGGAUAACUUCGGGAAACCGGAGCUAAUACCGGAUAAUAUAUUGAACCGCAUGGUUCAAUAGUGAAAGACGGUUUUGCUGUCACUUAUAGAUGGAUCCGCGCCGCAUUAGCUAGUUGGUAAGGUAACGGCUUACCAAGGCGACGAUGCGUAGCCGACCUGAGAGGGUGAUCGCCCACACUGGAACUGAGCCACGGUCCAGACUCCUACGGGAGGCAGCAGUAGGGAAUCUUCCGCAAUGGGCGAAAGCCUGACGGAGCAACGCCGCGUGAGUGAUGAAGGUCUUCGGAUCGUAAAACUCUGUUAUUAGGGAAGAACAAAUGUGUAAGUAACUAUGCACGUCUUGACGGUACCUAAUCAGAAAGCCACGGCUAACUACGUG
rnacentral:rRNA from 1 species